rnacentral:rRNA from 1 species
UACGGAGGGUGCGAGCGUUAAUCGGAAUUACUGGGCGUAAAGCGCGCGUAGGCGGUCGGGUUAGUCGAUUGUGAAAGCCCAGGGCGUAACUUUGGAAUUGCAUUUGAUACUGCUCGGCUAGAGUAUGGGAGAGGGAAGCGGAAUUUCCGGUGUAGCGGUGAAAUGCGUAGAUAUCGGAAGGAACACCAGUGGCGAAGGCGGCUUCCUGGCCCAAUACUGACGAUGAGGUGCGAAAGCGUGGGGGGCGAACAGG